GACGAACGCUGGCGGCGUGCUUAACACAUGCAAGUCGAACGGAAAGGCCCUGCUUUUGUGGGGUGCUCGAGUGGCGAACGGGUGAGUAACACGUGAGUAACCUGCCCUUGACUUUGGGAUAACUUCAGGAAACUGGGGCUAAUACCGGAUAGGAGCUCCUGCUGCAUGGUGGGGGUUGGAAAGUUUCGGCGGUUGGGGAUGGACUCGCGGCUUAUCAGCUUGUUGGUGGGGUAGUGGCUUACCAAGGCUUUGACGGGUAGCCGGCCUGAGAGGGUGGCCGGCCACAUUGGGACUGAGAUACGGCCCAGACGCCUACGGGAGGCAGCAGUGGGGAAUAUUGCACAAUGGGCGGAAGCCUGAUGCGGCAACGCCGCGUGCGGGAUGACGGCCUUCGGGUUGUAAACCGCUUUCGCCUGUGACGAAGCGUGAGUGACGGUAAUGGGUAAAGAAGCACCGGCUAACUACGUG
rnacentral:rRNA from 1 species